GACGAACGCUGGCGGCGCGCUUAACACAUGCAAGUCGAGCGAGAACCAGGCCUUCGGGCCUGGGGAAAGCGGCGAACGGGUGAGUAACACGUGGGUAACCCACCCUUGGUACCGGGAUAGCCCGGGGAAACCCGGAUUAAUACCGGAUGGCCCAACAGCUCUUCGGGGCGGUUGGAAAAGGUAGCUUCGGCCUCCGACCAAGGACGGGCCCGCGGCGGAUUAGCUUGUUGGCGGGGUAACGGCCCACCAAGGCAACGAUCCGUAGCUGGUCNGAGAGGACGAUCAGCCACACUGGGACUGAGACACGGCCCAGACUCCUACGGGAGGCAGCAGUGGGGAAGUAUUGCACAAUGGGCGCAAGCCUGAUGCAGCGACGCCGCGU
rnacentral:rRNA from 1 species